rnacentral:rRNA from 1 species
UACGAAGGGGGCUAGCGUUGCUCGGAAUCACUGGGCGUAAAGCGCACGUAGGCGGAUUGCUAAGUCAGGGGUGAAAUCCUGGAGCUCAACUCCAGAACUGCCUUUGAUACUGGCGAUCUUGAGUCCGGGAGAGGUGAGUGGAACUGCGAGUGUAGAGGUGAAAUUCGUAGAUAUUCGCAAGAACACCCGUGGCGAAGGCGGCUCUCUGGAACGCAACUGACGCUGAGACGCGCAAGCGUGGGGAGCAAACAGG